rnacentral:rRNA from 1 species
UACGGAGGGUGCAAGCGUUAUCCGGAAUCACUGGGUUUAAAGGGUGCGUAGGCGGCGUUAUUAGUCAGAGGUGAAAGCUCGCAGCUUAACUGUGAAAUUGCCUCUGAUACUGUAAUGCUUGAAUCACGUUGAGGUCGGCGGAAUGUGACAUGUAGCGGUGAAAUGCAUAGAUAUGUCAUAGAACACCAAUUGCGUAGGCA